rnacentral:rRNA from 1 species
CAAGAGCGUAUGUAAAAGUUGUUGCAGUUAAAAAGCUCGUAGUUGAACCUUGGGUUUGGUUGGCCGGUCCGCUUUUUUGCGAGUACUGGAUUCAACCGAGCCUUUCCUUCUGGCUAACCAGUCGUUUCGGCGGCUGGCGAACCAGGAUUUUUACUUUGAGAAAAUUAGAGUGUUCAAAGCAGGCAUUAGCUUGAAUAUAUUAGCAUGGAAUAAUAGAAUAGGACGUUAUGGUUCUAUUUUGUUGGUCUCUAGGACCAUCGUAAUGAUUAAUAGGGACGGUCGGGGGCGUCAGUAUUCAGUUGUCAGGGGUGAAAUUCUUGGAUUUACUGAAGACUAACCACUGCGAAAGCAUUUGCCAAGGACGUUUUCAUUAA